rnacentral:rRNA from 1 species
AUUGAACGCUGGCGGCAGGCCUAACACAUGCAAGUCGAACGGGUGGCGGACGGGUGAGUAAUGUCUGGGAAACUGCCCGAUGGAGGGGGAUAACUACUGGAAACGGUAGCUAAUACCGCAUACCAUCAGAUGUGCCCAGAUGGGAUUAGCUUGUCGGUGGGGUAACGGCUCACCGAGGCAACGAUCCCUAGCUGGUCUGAGAGGAUGACCAGCCACACGGGAACUGAGACACGGUCCAUAGUCCUACGGUAGGCAGCAGUGGGGAAUAUUGAACAAUGUGCGCAAGCCAGAUGCAGCCAUGCCGCGUGUAUGAAGAAGGCCUUCGGGUUGGAAAGUACGUUCAGCGGGGAGGCGUUACCCGCAGAAGAAGCACCGGCUAACUCCGUGCCAGCAGCCGCGGUAAUUC